rnacentral:rRNA from 1 species
AUUGAACGCUGGCGGCAGGCCUAACACAUGCAAGUCGAACGAGUGGCGGACGGGCGUGUAAUGUCUGGGAAACUGCCUGAUGGAGGGGGAUAACCACUGGAAACGGUAGCUAAUACCGCAUACCAUCAGAUGUGCCCAGAUGGGCUUAGCUUGUUGUUGGGGUAACGGCUCACCAAGGCGACGAUCACUAGCUGGGCUGAGAGGAUGACCAGCCAAACUGGGACUGAGACACGGUCCAGACUCCUACGGGAGGCAGCAGUGGGGAAUAUUGCACAAUGGGCGCAAGGCUGAUGCAGCCAUGCCGCGUGUAUGAAGAAGGCCUUCGGGUUGUAAAGUACUUUCAGCGGGGAGGCGUUACCCGCAGAAGAAGCACCGGCUAACUCCGUGCCAGCAGCCGCGGUAAUUC